AUGACUUCCAAUCUAGUCUUUGUCACCUUGGAAACUUUACCUCGGGAUUGACUGGAGGAUUCACAAUGAUUCUCUGAAACUGGGGCGGAACAACUGCGGAAUCUUUGAUCUGUGCACCCUAUUCUUCCCAGUCCCUCUGGAGGAACCCAGUAGGCCAGGCAGCAUCGAUGGAAAUUACUAAGCUGUUGAUGUUUUGGGCCGAGACCCUUCUUCAGGACUGGGAAGGAAGGAGGAAGAUGCCAGAAUAUAAAGUGUUGAUGGAGAUGGAGACUGAGAGCAGUGGAGUGUGGGAAUGCAGAUCAGUUGGACAUUAUCAAUCACUAGGAAUCGAUGCACCGUGGACCAAAGGUCGGACCAAAGACUUUGAAGUGAACAAGUCAUGACAGAGUGAUUCACUGAACAGCUUAAAACUGUCUACACUCCUUCUUGGCCAUUCCAUCUGCUGGAUGCAAAGAAGCAGCUCUUCACAUCUUCACCAGCACCAUCUCCCAAAUCCACAAUCUCUUUUGCAGAUUCUUCUCCCUCCCCAGCUUACGGACGCCAAACUUAAGCAGAGCCCAGGAGACGAGGAAUAUGGAUUUGGCCUACUGCUGAGAUCUGCGGGCAGGAGAGAGCUUGUUUAGUGACUGCAUUACCAGGUUGUAAACUGUUUGUGUUAAGGACAGUUCACAGAAAAAAGUGGGCAGGACACCACAGCUCCAAGCUCCCCAAGUUAAACACCAUCCAAACUUCCAAUUAUUUUCUUUGUUUAUUUUUUCAUUGUUAUUGGUUUGAGGUCCUGUAACUUCUGGCUUAACAACAUCUCUGCCAAGUGGUAGGCAGCAGACUGGAUCUCCAUCUCUGUGCCUUAAUUUGUCUGCUAUCAUGUUCACCAUCAUGCUGCCAUCACUGGUCGCCUCUGUACCACAGCGGUUAACGUGAUACGAUAACAGCUUGCUGCGUCGGACUCUGGAGUUCAAUCGUGGUUCAAUCCCAGUGUCAUUUGUAAGGGGUAUCUGUAUGUUCUCCCCAUGGAAUAUGUGGCUUUUCACCGGGUCCUCUGGUUUCCUCCCACGGUCCAAUGAGGUACCGGGUGGGUUAAUUGGUCAUUGUAAUUUGUCCUGUGAUUAGUG